rnacentral:lncRNA from 1 species
GUUUCUUAAGGAGCAGUCUUAUCAUUGCCUCUUUCAAACAGGUGGGAACCACCCCUCUUGUAAAGAGGCAUGGCCCACCUUCCUGGCCCAGACAGCUGUUUCCACCCUGCUAGAUGUUAUCAGCCAAGAAGGCCCAGGUUGCAGGUAGUUCCUUGAACUGAUCCAAGUGCCUUUUCCACAUCCUCAAACUACACCAACUGAAAUUCAUCCAACAAAACAGUAUUAGACAGUGCUCUGGCCAUCUCUUAAGAUUCUACUGCUAUAAUGGCAAAGUUAUGGAUGGCCUUAGCAUAGAAAGAGACUACAUUGCUAGUUCAUGUUAUUGGGUGAAGGAAGCAAUGGACUAAGAGUAGGUUUCUAAGCCCAUUACUUCCGUCAACAAAAUUAACAACAUAUCCAACUACAAUGUGGCUAUGCUAUGUGGCUUCUUGUACUGAGUUUUCUGUACUGAAUGCUUCCAGAAAUGUAGGCUUCAGUUUUUGAACAUUUCAGAAGUUGAACAGUCUUUCGGAAUGGAUUACAUUUGAAAACCGAGGUUCCACUCUAUAUUAAAACUGCAUUGGUCCUCAGAUACCAAAGAAGCCUUGAUUCAGAAUUCUGUUCCCCAGAGUUGUUUGUGACUGGACUUAACUGUCAGGGGCCCUUUACCUUUUUAGUGGCCAAACAGGUGUCUCAACUCAAGAUGUUGGUCAGAACUUUCUGAUAUAGCAGUCAACACAUAAACACUGAGUGGCUGACAGGUGCCAGUGGUGACAACUGUGAAACAAUGAGGGUAUGGGUUUGGUUUGGUUUGGUUUGGUUUGGUUUGGUUUGGUUUGGUUUGGUUUGGUUUGGUUUUAGAUAUUCUGAAUGUUUUCAAAUGUUUUAGAUUUUUUUAAAAAAUGUGGUUUUUUUAUUAAUUUGAUUUUUAAUUGUACAGUUAUACCAUUUUGAUAUUUGCUACCCUGGACAAAUGCAUCAGAGAGAUCUGGAAACUUAGGUCACAUAAACCCUAAAGCACCAAGCAAUGGAAACUUUGAGGCACUGGUAGACACUUAUUGGAAUUUGACUAGGUAGGAUUGAACUAGCGUCCAUAACGCCCCAGGCAAGACCCAUGAUUUCCCGCCAUUAAAUUCCACACACCCCAAUAAACUCUUUUCUGGGACUGGCCUGUGUGUAUUAGGUUGUCAUUAAGCCAGCGAUUACAAUCAUUUUUUAAUAGACAUGAAUUAAGACAAGAAGCAUAAACCGGAAGACAGUGUGGUGACAGCAAUGUAACAUGUGCCCUCAUGGUUCAUGAAGAGUUUGCGAUGCUUGGGUGGAGCCUCACACUUCCUAGGAGAUAAGUGUUCUGGACAGCAUAUAUAAAGCUCCCCUUGUCCCAGGGAUCUCUAGUCAUACACUUGGAUUCAUCAGAAUCACCAUCUCCCACCUGUGAACGAGGUGAGUGGACUCUCUCAGAGGCAUUUAGUUGGUUGCUGUGAGAACAGAAUGCUGGACCAGAUGGGGCCUUGGCCUUAUCUAGCAGGGCUAUUUUCUUAUAUUAUUAUCUUCUUUACUGGAGAGAUUUAAGCAGAGGCUGAACUAGAAUCAUCAGGGAUACUGCCCUCACAUCCUGGUUGAACAGAUCCUGCCCUGAGGAGGGAUUUGGGACAGAAUCGAUGAGAUUGAAGGUCCCCUUCUCACCUUAGAAAGCUAUGAAACCUAAGUUGCAUUUCAUUGACUUCUGGGCUUGCCAUUUGGAGAAUUGGGUUGGCCAUUUUGAAAAGGCCUCCCUGGAGUCAGUGGACUCAAUGACCCUAUCCAGAAGGUUUUCCCUUAUCUCCUUAGAGGCAGCUAUUUGCCCUACAUAGCAAGCAGCCUCCUGAAGUAAAAUGACCUUUCUCAGUGAUAGUGUACCUGAUUUUCAAACCUUCAGUCCCCAGCAUCUCCAGGUAAAUCUGGGAGAUAUCACCAUCUUGAAACCCUGGAGAGACACUACUAGUACUGAGCUAGCUAACUUUGAAGGUGACUCGGAAAUUAAAACUAAUUCAGAAUGCAGCAGCUAGACUGGGAGCAGCCACCAGGACCAUAUAACACCAGUCCUGAAGGAUCUACAUUUGCUCCCAGUACAUUUCCGAGCACAAUUCAAAGUGUUGGUGCUGAGCUUUAAAGCCCUCAAUGGCCUCGGCCUUGUAUACCUGAAGGAGCGUCUCCACCCCCAUCGUUCAGCCCAGACACUGAAGUCCAGAUCCAAGGGCCUUCUGGCAGUUCCCUCAGUGCAAUAAGUGAAGGUACAAGGAACAAGGUAGAGGGCCUUCUUGGUAGUGGGAAUGCACUCCCAUCAGAUGUGAAGGAGAUAAGUAACUAUACAACUACAGUGGUAUCUCGGGUUAAGAACUUAAUUCAUUCUGGUGGUCCGUUCUUAACCUGAAACUGUUCUUAACCUGAAGCACCACUUUAGCUAAUGGGGCCUCCCGCUGCCGACGCGCUGCUGCUGUGCGAUUUCUGUUCUCAUCUUGAAGCAAAGUUCUUAACCCGAGGUACUAUUUCUGGGAGUCUGUAACCUGAAGCGUCUGUAACCUGAAGUGUCUGUAACCCGAGGUACCACUGUAUACAGAAGGCAUCUUACUUUAUUCAUAGGACAAGGACUGUAGCUCAGUAGCAUAGCAUCUGCUUUGCACACAGAAGGUCUUAGGUUUGAUCCUCAACAUCUCCACGUGGGGCUGGAAAAGACUCCUGCUUCAGACACUGGAGACCUGGCUCUAUUUAAGGCAGCUUCCUAUGUUCUGACAUUCUGUCUCAUUCAGGAGAGCCCUAGUUGUAUUCUCAGUGCAGUUCUGAUUUCAUGUGGAUGCUGUUGCUGCUUGCUGAUAUGCCCCAUUCUUCUUCCUGUUCUCCCCAGCUUUGCUUCCACUCCACAAAGAUGGGCUGCUGUGGCCAUUCUGACUCUUGCGGCUGCCAUGGGCAUGGAGGAACCAGAGUAGUCUACUGCUGCGUGCCAUACAGCGGUGUCCAGUCCAUGCGUUCCUGCUGCUGUUCUUGCUGUUCACCCAUGCAAUCCAUGCAGUCCUGCUGUUCUCCCAAGUCCCAUGGCUGCUGUGCUCAAAUUCAGCAGUGUUGUGUCCCAAGCAAGAAAUGCUGCUAAGGGGAGUGUGCCCGUCCCCCCACUUCACCUGCAAUUGCUAAAGGAGCAUCCACCCAGCAGAAUCAACAUUGCUGCCAAUAACACUAAAUUCAAGGCCUGCUGUUUUGUUUUCCCUUCCAACAUACUGCUGAGCAAAAUGUCCAACUCUGUCUCGCUACCUGAUAUAUCUUACCGCAGGUUGUCCUAUUGCUUUAACUGCUGGAAUGCUUCUGAGAGGAGGUGGGGGAGAUGAAUUUGAGAGGAUCGCAUUUUGAGUCUAUCGCACUGUUUUCAACUGCUUUCUUGGUAGAGGGGACAAAUCCCCAGAUUCCAACAUCUGAAACUCCUCUUUACUUGCUUUUAUUGUAUAUGUAGAAUGCAAUAAAAAAUACUUUUCUGCAGCAA